rnacentral:lncRNA from 1 species
NNNNNNNNNNNNNNNNNNNNNNNNNNUGGUUUUACUCUCCAAACCCUGCUGGUUUUUCUCUCCAAACCCUGAUCUUUUUACCCUCCCAACCUUGCUCUUUCUGCCCUCCCACCCCUGUCCUUUUUGCCAUCCAAAUCCUGCUCCUUUUGCUCCUCAAACCCUGCUGGUUUUACUCUCCAAACCCAUCUCUUUUUACUCUCCAAACCCUGCUCAUUUUGCUCCCCAAUCCCUGCUGGUUUUACCCUCCAAACCCUGCUGGUUUUACCUUCCAAACCCUGCUGUUUUUGCCAUCCAAAACCUGUUCCUUUUGCUCCCCAAAGUCCACUGGUUUUACCCUUCCAACACUGCUGGUUUUAUUCUCUAAACUCUGCUCCUUUUGCUUUCCAAAUUCUACUUUUGGGUCUCCAAACCCUGCUGGGUUUGCCCUCCAAACCCUUCUCCUUUUACUCCCCAAACCCUGCUGGUUUUACUCUCCAAACCCAGCUCUUUUUUUCUCUCCAAACCCUGCACUUUUUGCUCCCCAACCCAGCUCUUUUUGCCAUCCAAACCCUUCUCCUUUUGCUCCCCAAAACCUGCUCUUUUUACUCCCCAAACCCUGCUGGGUUUACUCUCCACACCCUGCUCCUUUUGCCAUCCAAACUCUGCUCUUUUUACCGUCCAAACCCUGCUGGUUUUACCCUCCAAACCCAGUUCUUUUUGCCCUCCAAACCCUGCCCUUUUUCUCCCCUAACCCUGCUAGUUUUACUCUCCAAACCCUGCUGGUUUUACUCUCCAAACCCUGCCCUUUCCCCCCUCCAAACCCUGUUGCUUUUACUCUCCCAGCCCUGCUCUUUUUGCCCCUCAAACCAACACCGGCACCCAGCGCUUGCCGAGCCCCGUGCCCGAGCCCCUCCCGGCUCUGCCGGGGCUGAAUUCAUCCCCUGCCCGGGCAGGCGCCGGCCUCUCGUCGCUCCUUUGUGCCUGGGGGCCCCACAACACGGAUUUCAUUCACUGCCACCCAUUGUCCCCGCUCAUUCAGCGACAUGCACCGCGCUGGUUGUGACCGCGGGCCGGCACAAAGCGCUCCCCGCGCGUUCCGCCCCGAUUUGCCAUUAGCGAGGAGGGGAAGGGGGGGGACACUCGGGGAGAAGAAUAAUCCCGGGCUCGGUGACACGUUCCAGGCACUCGAGUGGCCCCGGAGUCCAUCACAC